GGGCUGUAGCUCAGUUGGUAGAGUGCCUGGUUCGCAUUCAGGAGGUCGUGGGUUCGAAUCCCAUCAGUUCC
rnacentral:tRNA from 1 species